UACAGAGGGUGCAAGCGUUGUUCGGAAUUAUUGGGCGUAAAGGGCGCGUAGGCGGUGCGGUAAGUCUGUAGUGAAAUCUCUGGGCUCAACUCAGAGUCUGCUGCAGAAACUGCCGUGCUUGAGUGUGGGAGAGGUGAGUGGAAUUCCCGGUGUAGCGGUGAAAUGCGUAGAUAUCAGGAGGAACACCGGUGGCGAAGGCGGGUCUCUGGGCCGAUACUGACGCUGAGGAGCGAAAGCGUCGGGAGCAAACCGG
rnacentral:rRNA from 1 species